CUCAUUUGGCAGUGGAGGCUAGGGUAUUUUGCUGUUGAUUCCUGGCUAUGGAAGGCCUUCUGAAGGUCCUGCGCAAAUGCUGUACUUGGCAGGAAGACAGAGCUCAGAGCCACUGGAGUACCUGCUGAAGUUGGUGAUGGGGAGCAAGAAUAUGCUGUGAAGAGAUACCACAAAGUUCUUAUUUUGGGAGACAGGCUGUGUUUCUGACAGCCAGACCAGCCUUCUGAACCAAAUAGCCUCCAGCUCCAUUCUGUCGGUGAGAAACAUAGCAGCCUGAGAGAUUGAAGUUCAGCAAAACGAUAAGGCACCAAAACCAGGGCUUUCUAAUGGGAACUGUCAUGUAACUUGAAUAAUAGUCCCAUUCAUAACACUUACACUGGAUCUUAAUCUCACUUUAAGUGAAAUUACUCUGGGGACUUAAAAUUAGAGUAUUUGCAAUUUAAAUUUCUUCUGGGAUUCUUUGUACCUCAGGUGCAGUGUGCAAUGAUGUGUUAUGUGCUCUCACUACAAAAAGUGCUUGUGUGUGUACAAGUGAGUCUCUGUGUGUGAAUAUAUCCUUGCCCCAUAUUUUUGUAUAGUUAUACAUAUGUAGUAAGAUAAGUGCUGAUGUAAAGAUAAUAGAAAAACCAAAGGACAUAGUGAUAACUUCUCUUUCUAAAGCUGUUAACUAAUAUGUUUGGUUUCAGAAACAUCUAAUGCAUAAUUUUCUAUUUUCCUUUUCACUGACAAAUAUAAGAGAAAAAUGGUCAGAAAAAAAAACACACAGGAAAACAAAACAAAAAGGGCAGGAAAAUGAAUACAGAGUUCUAAAUAUCGACGUACUGAUAUCAGGAAGGGGGGCGGGGGGCAGAAUAAAAUAAUUCUCUUGAAAUGUAUGCCCUUGGAAGGACUAUGAAGCAUCCAUGCAGUCUUUGUUUUACAACCAGAGCUUCUAAACACCUUCUAAGCUCUGGACCAAGCACUGAAAGCAUCAAACUAAAUUUUCACAAGCUAAAUACUUAUUAUUUUUAGCAUUCUUUUGUACUGUAACUUCCAAAUUUGUUCUUAAAGGUAUGCUCACAGUGAGUCCUCAGUGGGUAGCAGAAUUUCAUGCCAUUUACUCAGUUCUGGCCAUAGCUUCUCUUCAGCAAAAGUUCAUCAUGUAAAUUAUUAUUGCUCUUGCAGGUAGAACUUUAUUAUAGAUGAUACACAUACGCCAGACUCAUCUAGAAUUAUAACACUUUCUGUCACCUUCCUCUAAAUGACAUCUGGCAGCCGUUCCCAGAAUGACAUUUCAGACAUGUUUCUCUUCAUAUUAAUUCUGCUUACAUGUUGGCAGUAGUUGGCAAUACCACCAGAGAACAACUUCCUUCAAUCAAGUAAAGAUACUUUCAUA